AGUGAACGCUGGCGGUAGGCCUAACACAUGCAAGUCGAACGGCAGCACAGUAAGAGCUUGCUCGUACGGGUGGCGAGGGGCGGACGGGUGAGGAAUACAUCGGAAUCUACUUUUUCGUGGGGGAUAACGUAGGGAAACUUACGCGAAUACCGCAUACGACCUACGGGUGAAAGCAGGGGAUCUUCGGACCUUGCGCGAUUGAAUGAGCCGAUGUCGGAUUAGCUAGUUGGCGGGGUAAAGGCCCACCAAGGCGACGAUCCGUAGCUGGUCUGAGAGGAUGAUCAGCCACACUGGAACUGAGACACGGUCCAGACUCCUACGGGAGGCAGCAGUGGGGACUAUUGGACAAUGGGCGCAAGCCUGAUCCAGCCAUACCGCGUGGGUGAAGAAGGCCUUCGGGUUGUAAAGCACUUUUGUUGGGAAAGAAAAGCAGCAGGUUAAUACCCCGCUGUUCUGACGGUACCCAAAGAAUAAGCACCGGCUAACUUCGUG
rnacentral:rRNA from 1 species